rnacentral:rRNA from 1 species
UACGUAGGGGGCUAGCGUUGUCCGGAAUUAUUGGGCGUAAAGAGCGUGUAGGCGGUCCGGUAGUCGGCUGUGAAAGUCAGGGCUCAACCCUUGGAUGCCGGUCGAUACUGCCGGACUAGAGUUCGGAAGAGGCGAGUGGAAUUCCCGGUGUAGCGGUGAAAUGCGCAGAUAUCGGGAGGAACACCUAUGGCGAAGGCAGCUCGCUGGGACGU